rnacentral:rRNA from 1 species
GUGCCAGCCGCCGCGGUAAUACAGAGGUGGCAAGCGUUGUUCGGAAUUACUGGGCGUAAAGGGCGAGUAGGCGGCCAACUAAGUCAGACGUGAAAUCCCCCGGCUUAACCUGGGAACUGCGUCUGAUACUGGAUGGCUUGAGUAUGGGAGAGGGAUGUGGAAUUCCAGGUGUAGCGGUGAAAUGCGUAGAUAUCUGGAGGAACACCGGUGGCGAAGGCGGCAUCCUGGACCAUAACUGACGCUGAAUCGCGAAAGCUAGGGGAGCAAACGGGAUUAGAUACCCCGGUAGUCCUAGCCCUAAACGAUGAAUACUUGGUGUGGCGGGUAUCGAUCCCUGCCGUGCCGAAGCUAACGCAUUAAGUAUUCCGCCUGGGGAGUACGGUCGCAAGGCUGAA